rnacentral:rRNA from 1 species
UGAGGAAUAUUGGUCAAUGGGCGGAAGCCUGAACCAGCCAAGUAGCGUGAGGGAUGACUGCCCUAUGGGUUGUAAACCUCUUUUAUAAGGGAAUAAAAUACGGGACGUGUCCUGUUUUGCAUGUACCUUAUGAAUAAGGACCGGCUAAUUCCGUGCCAGCAGCCGCGGUAAUACGGAAGGUCCGGGCGUUAUCCGGAUUUAUUGGGUUUAAAGGGAGCGCAGGCGGUCUUAUAAGCGUGACGUGAAAUGCAGCGGCUCAACCGUAUGAUGUGCGUCGCGAACUGUGAGACUUGAGUGUAUUCGAUGUCAGCGGAAUUUGUGGUGUAGCGGUGAAAUGCUUAGAUAUCACGAAGAACCCCGAUUGCGAAGGCAGCUUGCCGUAGGUUGACUGACGCUGAUGCUCGAAGGCGCGGGUAUCGAACAGGAUUAGAUACCCUGGUAGU